rnacentral:rRNA from 1 species
AUGGCUCAGAGCGAACGCUGGCGGCAGGCCUAACACAUGCAAGUCGAACGAACCUUUCGGGGUUAGUGGCGGACGGGUGAGUAACACGUGGGAACGUGCCUUUAGGUUCGGAAUAACUCAGGGAAACUUGUGCUAAUACCGAAUGUGCCCUUCGGGGGAAAGAUUUAUCGCCUUUAGAGCGGCCCGCGUCUGAUUAGCUAGUUGGUUGAGGUAAUGGCUCACCAAGGCGACGAUCAGUAGCUGGUCUGAGAGGAUGAUCAGCCACAUUGGGACUGAGACACGGCCCAAACUCCUACGGGAGGCAGCAGUGGGGAAUCUUGCGCAAUGGGCGAAAGCCUGACGCAGCCAUGCCGCGUGAAUGAUGAAGGUCUUAGGAUUGUAAAAUUCUUUCACCGGGGACGAUAAUGACGGUACCCGGAGAAGAAGCCCCGGCUAACUUCGUGCCAGCAGCCGCGGUAAUACGAAGGGGGCUAGCGUUGCUCGGAAUUACUGGGCGUAAAGGGAGCGUAGGCGGACAUUUAAGUCAGGGGUGAAAUCCCGGGGCUCAACCUCGGAAUUGCCUUUGAUACUGGGUGUCUUGAGUAUGAGAGAGGUGUGUGGAACUCCGAGUGUAGAGGUGAAAUUCGUAGAUAUUCGGAAGAACACCAGUGGCGAAGGCGACACACUGGCUCAUUACUGACGCUGAGGCUCGAAAGCGUGGGGAGCAAACAGGAUUAGAUACCCUGGUAGUCCACGCCGUAAACGAUGAUUGCUAGUUGUCGGGAUGCAUGCAUUUCGGUGACGCAGCUAACGCAU